rnacentral:piRNA from 1 species
UGAUAGUCUCCGGAUAAUAGUCCAUGCUC